rnacentral:rRNA from 1 species
UACGGAGGGUGCAAGCGUUAUCCGGAUUUACUGGGGUUAAAGGGUGCGUAGGCGGGUUGAUAAGUCAGUGGUGAAAUACUAUCGCUUAACGAUGGAACUGCCGUUGAUACUAUCAAUCUUGAAUACAGUGGAGGCGGGCGGAAUGUGUCAUGUAGCGGUGAAAUGCUUAGAUAUGACACAGAACACCUAUUGCGAAGGCAGCUCGCUACACUGUUAUUGACGCUGAUGCACGAAAGCGUGGGGAUCAAACAGG